ensembl:snRNA U1 U1 spliceosomal RNA
CUACUUACCUGGCAUGGGAGAUACCAUGAUCAGGAAGGCAGUUCACCCAGGGCGAGGCUCAGCCAUUGCACUCCAGCUGUGCUGACCUCUGCAAAUUUCCGAGAUGUGCGGGGCCAGUGGUGGCCUAGCUAUUUCUGGUUCGAAUCCCGAUCGGC